GACGUAGGGUGCAAGCGUUGUCCGGAUUUACUGGGCGUAAAGCGCGCGUAGGCGGUCUGUUAAGUGCACGAGUGAAAGCUCCGGGCUCAACUCGGAAAUUGCUCUGCAUACUGGCAGGCUGGAGGGACGCAGAGGUCUGUGGAAUUCCUGGUGUAACGGUGAAAUGUGUUGAUAUCAGGAGGAACACCAAUGGGCGAAGGCAGCUCACUGGGGCUGACACUGACGCUCAUGCAC
rnacentral:rRNA from 1 species